UACAAUGGAUGGUGCAGAGGGAAGGGAAGCCGCGAGGUGAAGCAAAACCCAUAAAACCAUUCUCAGUUCGGAUUGUAGUCUGCAACUCGACUACAUGAAGUUGGAAUCGCUAGUAAUCGGGAAUCAGCAUGUCGCGGUGAAUACGUUCUCGGGCCUUGUACACACCGCCCGUCACACCACGAGAGUUGAUAACACCCGAAGCCGGUGGCCUAACCGCAAGGAAGGAGCUGUCUAAGGUGGGAUUGAUGAUUGGGGUGAAGUCGUAACAAGGUAACCGUAAAUCGAAUUCCCGCGGCC
rnacentral:rRNA from 1 species